GAUGAAGAACGUAGUGAAAUGCGAUACUUGGUGUGAAUUGCAGAAUCCCGUGAACCAUCGAGUCUUUGAACGCAAGUUGCGCCCGAAGCCAUUAGGCCGAGGGCACGCCUGCCUGGGCGUCACACGUCGUUGCCCCCCCAUCUACUCCUUCGGGAUUGCGGGGGGCGGAUGAUGGCCUCCCGUGCGCCUCGUCGCGCGGUUGGCAUAAAUGCCAAGUCCUCGGCGACGCACGCCACGACAAUCGGUGGUUGCGAAACCUCGGUUGCCCGUCGUGUGCGGUCGUCGCGCAUCGAGGGCUCGAAAAAAUUGUCGGGCUCCGGCUCGGCUUUCAACGCGACCCCAGGUCAGGCGGGGUUACCCGCUGAAUUUAAGCAUAUCAAUAAGCCGGAGGA
rnacentral:misc_RNA from 1 species